rnacentral:rRNA from 1 species
CCUGACGCAGCGACGCCGCGUGAGGGAAGAAGGUUUUCGGAUUGUAAACCUCUGUCCUCGGUGACGAAACAAAUGACGGUAGCCGAGGAGGAAGCUCCGGCUAACUACGUGCCAGCAGCCGCGGUAAUACGUAGGGCGCGGGCGUUGUCCGGAUUUAUUGGGCGUAAAGAGCUCGUAGGCGGUUUGUUGCGUCUGCAGUGAAAACGCGGGGCUUAACUUCGCGCGUGCAGUGGGUACGGGCAGGCUAGAGUGCGGUAGGGGAGAUUGGAAUUCCUGGUGUAGCGGUGGAAUGCGCAGAUAUCAGGAGGAACACCGAUGGCGAAGGCAGGUCUCUGGGCCGUUACUGACGCUGAGGAGCGAAAGCGUGGGGAGCGAACAGGAUUAGAUACCCUGGUAGUCCAUGCUGUAAACGUUGGGCACUAGGUGUGGGGGCCUUUCCGGGUUUCUGCGUCGUAGCUAACGCUUUAAGUGCCCCGCCUGGGGAGUACGGCCGCAAGGUUAAAACUCAAAGGAAUUGACGG